rnacentral:rRNA from 1 species
GUAGUUGACUCCGUGGCUCGAGGACGACGCUGGCGGCGUGCUUAACACAUGCAAGUCGAGCGGUAAGGCCCUUCGGGGUACACGAGCGGCGAACGGGUGAGUAACACGUGAGCAACCUGCCCCUGACUCCGGGAUAAGCGGUGGAAACGCCGUCUAAUACCGGAUACGACCCCCGGGUGCAUGCCCGAGGGUGGAAAGUUUUUUCGGUCAGGGAUGGGCUCGCGGCCUAUCAGCUUGUUGGUGGGGUAAAGGCCUACCAAGGCGAUUACGGGUAGCCGGCCUGAGAGGGCGACCGGCCACACUGGGACUGAGACACGGCCCAGACUCCUGCGGGAGGCAGCAGUGGGGAAUCUUGCGCAAUGGGCGAAAGCCUGACGCAGCGACGCCGCGUGGGGGAUGACGGCCUUCGGGUUGUAAACCUCUUUUACCACUCACGCAGGCCCGGGGUUUUCUCCGGGUUGACGGUAGGUGGGGAAUAAGGACCGGCUAACUACGUG